rnacentral:rRNA from 1 species
AUUGAACGCUGGCGGCAGGCUUAACACAUGCAAGUCGAACGGUAACAGGGAUUAGCUUGCUAAUUUGCUGACGAGUGGCGGACGGGUGAGUAAUGCUUGGGAAUCUAGCUUAUGGAGGGGGAUAACUACGGGAAACUGUAGCUAAUACCGCGUAAAAUCUUCGGAUUAAAGGGUGGGACUUUCGGGCCACCUGCCAUAAGAUGAGCCCAAGUGGGAUUAGGUAGUUGGUUAGGUAAAGGCUGACCAAGCCGACGAUCUCUAGCUGGUCUGAGAGGAUGACCAGCCACACUGGAACUGAGACACGGUCCAGACUCCUACGGGAGGCAGCAGUGGGGAAUAUUGCACAAUGGGGGGAACCCUGAUGCAGCCAUGCCGCGUGAAUGAAGAAGGCCUUCGGGUUGUAAAGUUCUUUCGGUGACGAGGAAGGUUGAUAGGUUAAUAGCCUAUCAAAUUGACGUUAAUCACAGAAGAAGCACCGGCUAACUCCGUGCCAGCAGCCGCGGUAAUACGGGGGGUGCGAGCGUUAAUCGGAAUAACUGGGCGUAAAGGGCACGCAGGCGGUGACUUAAGUGAGAUGUGAAAGCCCCGGGCUUAACCUGGGAAUUGCAUUUCAUACUGGGUCGCUAGAGUACUUUAGGGAGGGGUAGAAUUCCACGUGUAGCGGUGAAAUGCGUAGAGAUGUGGAGGAAUACCGAAGGCGAAGGCAGCCCCUUGGGAAUGUACUGACGCUCAUGUGCGAAAGCGUGGGGAGCAAACAGG